CCUACGGGAGGCUGCAGUGGGGAAUAUUGCACAAUGGGGGAAACCCUGAUGCAGCGACGCCGCGUGAGUGAAGAAGUAUUUCGGUACGUAAAGCUCUAUCAGCAGGGAAGAAAAAAAGUCCUUUGGACUUUGGACGGUACCUGACCAAGAAGCCCCGGCUAACUACGUGCCAGCAGCCGCGGUAAUACGUAGGGGGCAAGCGUUAUCCGGAUUUACUGGGUGUAAAGGGAGCGUAGACGGCAGCGCAAGUCUGGAGUGAAAUGCCGGGGCCCAACCCCGGAAGUGCUUUGGAAACUGUGCAGCUGGAGUGCAGGAGAGGUAAGCGGAAGUCCUAGUGUAGCGGUGAAAUGCGUAGAUAUUAGGAGGAACAACAGUGGCGAAGGCGGCUUACUGGACUGUAACUGACGUUGAGGCUCGAAAGCGUGGGGAGCAAACAGGAUUAGAUACCCGAGUAGUC
rnacentral:rRNA from 1 species